rnacentral:rRNA from 1 species
AGAGUUUGAUCCUGGCUCAGGACGAACGCUGGCGGCGUGCCUAACACAUGCAAGUCGUACGGGACUCGGGGGGCAACUCUCGAGCUCAGUGGCAGACGGGUGCGUAACACGUGAGGAACCUGUCCGGUGGCGGGGGAUAGCCGGCCCAACGGCCGGGUAAUACCGCAUACGCUUGUUCGGGGGCAUCCCUGGGCGAGGAAAGCAGCCGCAAGGUUGCGCCGACGGAGGGCCUCGCGCCCUAUCAGCUAGUUGGCGGGGUCGCGGCCCACCAAGGCGACGACGGGUAGCUGGUCUGAGAGGAUGAUCAGCCACAUUGGGACUGAGACACGGCCCAGACUCCUACGGGAGGCAGCAGUGGGGAAUAUUGCGCAAUGGCCGCAAGGCUGACGCAGCGACGCCGCGUGUGGGAUGACGGUCUUCGGAUUGUAAACCACUGCCAGGGGGAACGAAUGCGGGACGUCGAAUAGGCGAUCUCGAGUGACGGUACCUCCAAAGGAAGCACCGGCUAACUCCGUGCCAGCAGCCGCGGUAAU